rnacentral:lncRNA from 10 species
CGCCCCCACCAGCCCGGCGCCCCCUCCAGCCCAGUGCCUCCCCAAGCCCGGUGCCUCCCACCAGCGUGACAAGCCAUGGGUCCCCCACUUCAAGGCCCACAUUUUUUUAUUAGCUGAGGUCGUGGUAGCUGUUGUACCACCUCACUAAGCGCGUCUUUUUCUGUAGUUUUGAUGCUGACGUCUUGCCCAUUCCUGUGCCCCGACCACCCAGCUGCGUGGAGCAGCCCCCACUCUCUGUGGAUAAAAGAACUUUCUUCCUACAAGACGGUCAUUCCUGCGUCUGUGUGUUACCCUCCCUGAUUACAACAAAUCCUAGGCUCAUUUUAAAAAGAUACAGGCCCCACAUUUAGGAGGCUGCAGCCCAAACCUCUGCAGCCAGCAUCCUAUGUCUUCGCUGCAGUUUAUGGCAAGACCCUGGAGACCUGGUGAGAGCACAGCCCUGGUGUCCUCCUCCGUGGCCCCCCUCAUCCCCCUCUGUCAGGUGUGUAGCCCCCACUCCAAGCGUGAUCUUCAGCCCCCGGCCCUGUCCCUCAGCAGCACAGGUGAUAAGCCCCUCCGUCCGGAAGCACUGUCUUUACUUGGCCACCAAGACCCCCAACUUGACCGCACCCCCACUUGCCAGCCAUCCCCUCUGCCCUGCCUGUGCUUCCUACCACUGUGCAGGCCCAGCUUGUGCCCCCCUUGGGGCUGAGCCCCGGCGGGCACCCAUGUCCUCCAGCUGUGAGCACUUUCCUCUAUGGUGUUUGCUCUUCCCUCUGGGACAUGGCCAUGGGGCCCCUCAGAAUGGCACAUAUUGGGCACCACGUGACUUCAGGUAGAAUGACUGAGGGACCAGCCCAGCACAGCCAGGCAGGGCAGCGAGAGGCCGGGCAGGACACCCUCCGACCACUCUGAGGACAGGGAUGGCUGCAGAGCCAAUGCAGGCUCACACGCAGGGACAGACAGCUGGAGGCUGAGCCCAGGCGCAGGACUUCAGAGCCACCAGCCACAACCACACCCAAGGCCAUGGGGUAGACAAGGGCAGUGUGGACUGAGCGGUCAGGGUCCCCAUGAGAUAAACAGGAACCACUCAGAAACACUUCUCUCCUGCCAGGAGCGGUGGCCUACGCCUGUAAUCCCGGCACUUUGGGAGGUAGAGGCAGGCAGAUCACUUGAGCCCAGGAGUUUGGGACCAGCCUGGGCGGCAUGGUGAAACCCUGCGUCUACUAAAAAUGAAAAUACAAAAAUUAGCUGGGCAUGGUGGCACGCGCCUGUAGUCUCAGCCACUCAGGAGGCUGAGAUGGGAGGAUUAGUUGAUCCCGGAAGAUCGAGGCUGCAGUCCCAGCCACUCAGGAGGCUGAGGUGGGAGGAUGACUUGAUCCCGGAAGAUCAAGGCUGCAGUCCCAGCCACUCAGGAGGCUGAGGUGGGAGGAUGACUUGAUCCUGGAAGAUGGAGGCUGCAGUGAGCUGACUGUGCCACUGAGUGACAGAGCAACAUCUUGUCUCAAAAAAAAAAAAAAAAAAAAGAGAAACCCUCCUGUCCAACCAAGGCGGGACUUCAGAGGCCGUAGGACACAUUCCCUGGGCUCCAGGGGGAGGUGCGACCACCACAGGCCCCAGAGGUUGUGAUCCUGACCUGGCCGGAGUCCCAACCAGCCUCAUCCCUCAAGGCAGGGUCAGCCAGGACCAGGUGAAGGAGCCCUGAAGUAGUGCAGAAAGGGAAGCAGAGGCCAGGAAGGCUGAGCCAGCCGGAACAGAAUAGGCAAGCGUAUGAGACACUGCACUUCCAUCUCAUUAAUCGUUUUUUCUUUUUCAUAUAGGGUCUCACUCUGUUGCCCAGGCUGGAGUGCAGUAACAAGAUCAUAGCUCACUUGGCCUCAUAGCCUUGGUCUCCAGGCUCAAGCGAUCCUCCUGUCUCGGCCUCCCUUCUAUGUAGCUGGGACUACAGGCACAUGCCACUACACCCAGCUGCUUUUUUUAUUUUUUGUAGUGGUGGGGCCUCCCUAUGUUGCCCAGGCUGGUCUUGAUCUCCCAGGCUCAUGCAAUCCUCCCAUCCAGGCCUCCCAAAGCGCUGGGAUUACAGGCAUGAGCCACUGCAUCCAGCUGCACCACCUCUUAAUAAACAUUAGUUUUGGCCGGGCACAGUGGUUCAUGCCUGUAAUCCCAGCACUUUGGGAGGCCGAGGCGGGUGGAUCACCUGAGGUCAGGAGUUCAAGACCAGCCUGACCAAUACGAUGAAACCCCAUCUCUACUAAAAAUACAAAAAUUGGCCGGGCAUGGUGGCGCACUGCUGUAAUCCCAGCUACUCAGAAGGCUGAGGCAGGAGAAUCGCUUGAACCCGGGAGGCGGAGGUUGCAGUGAGCCGAAACUGCGCCACUGUACUCCAGCCUGGGUGACAAGAGCAAGACUCUGUCUUAAAAAAAAAAAAAUUUCUAGUUUUGUUGAAGUUUAUUGCACCUUCCAGUAAGCGCACUUGGUCUCACGCGCCAGGUGACCUCUGCUGUUUCCUGUGAGGCCAUCUUCGCCUCUGUCUUCCUGGGAAGCAAACUGCACUGUCCUUACACAGAUGCUGGCUCGUCCAGGGUGCAGGGCCCUACUGCCCCAGCCAGGCCGACACCGUGGGCCUCCAGGCUGUUCCGUGGGUCUGGGGCAGGUCGCAAGACAGAAGGGAAAAGCUGCAGCUGGCCUUAAGACAGGAAGUCUAUGGGGACAGAGGGGAUGGGGGUCUUGAGGAUGACUCGGGCUCCUGAAGGCAGGGGAGGGAGGCGGUCUAGGCGUGUCCACCCCUGGGACCAAGGAGGCCCAGACAGGCUGAGACUGGAGCUGGAGCCCCAGGUGUGUGCUGUCACUCAGGCACAUGCCCCAGUGAGAGCAUGUUCUGGCAGGGGGAAUGGACGUGGCCUCGGGGCAGGGCCGGCAGGAGCCUGGAGGUGGCCCCACAAGCCCCAUCGUCUGCCCACCUCAGGUCAGAGUCCGACAGCCCCAGAAGAGAGGGGAGCCCGGCAAGGCAGGCAGGGCUGGAGGCCUCAGGGCCACCUGUGUCUGCUGGUGGGGGGCGGGGGGGGUGCCAUGAGGCCGACCCUCCUUCCGCCAGGCUGAGGCACGUCCCCCGGACACAGAUGGCUCUUUGUCAGGGAUGAGCUGAGCUUGCUGAGCAGCCUCUGGAACAAAGCCCCUCUGUCCAUGCUGUGCCUCCCCACCCGGAGCACCACCUCCCGGGAAGGAGCAGAGCCCCGGGCUCCCAUCCGGCGCACCCACCAGGCACAGCCUUGGCCGGAGG